rnacentral:lncRNA from 1 species
GGGCAAGAGGGCGCGGCCUAGGGACUCAGGUGCCAGCUAAUCCGGCUCUUCCGGGAAAGUUGCCCUAAAGCCUGUCAUAUGGCAUCCUGGGAUUUGAAGUUUCUCUUCGGGCAACUCUCUUGAUGGCUCCUUACUUUUGAGGACAAGAUGGACUACAACUCCCAGAGGGCCAAGCGGCAGCAGCGGGGUCUUGUUCUCUCGCUGGGGCUAGGCGGCUAGUUCAAGUUGCCAUAGCUGCGAGUCUGGGGAGAGCAUAGUCGGUUGCGCCGCAGCGUCAGGUCAGUUGCACCUUCUGGGUCGCUGGCGGCCGUGGGAGCCGGGAGAGGCCUCGGCGAUGAUCCGGCUUUAAGGACCUGGGGUCCUCUUCUAUCUCAGGUGGUUUGGGGAAAGUGUAGGGGCGACCAAAGAUCAUCUACUUGACGAGGCCUUUUGCCCUGAACCUCAUGAAGAAAUGAUAGGAGGCAGACAUAUGUGCCUAAGAAGAGCACUGAGGAGAACACAGAGGAGAACAACACGGAGUUUUGGGGGUGUGCUUUGUAAGUAGGCUUUCUCCCUAAGUUUCCGAGUUAACAGAUUUUUACACAGGGCGGGUAAGAGAUAGA